rnacentral:rRNA from 1 species
AGCUCCAAUAGCAUAUAUUAAAGUUGUUGCAGUUAAAAAGCUUGUAAAAAGCUUGUAGUUGGAUUUCUGGAGCACAGGUCAGCCCCCUUGUUGUACUGUUGUUGUGUCCUGCCGUUUCGGAGGGAAUGGCCUUGCUAUUAAGUUAGUGGCCAGGAACUCUGUUGUUUACUGUGAAAAAAUUAGAGUGUUCAAAGCAGGCCUUUGCUGUGAAUACAUUAGCAUGGAAUAAUAAGAUAGGACUGUAGUGCUAUUUUGUUGGUUUGCAUACUAUGAUAAUGAUUAAUAGGGAUAGUUGGGGGGUGAAAUUCUUGGAUUUAUGGAAGAUGAACUACUGCAAAAGCAUUUACCAAGGAUGUUUUCA